UGUAGCUCAGUAAUAGAGCACUUGCCUAGCAUGUAUGAGGCACUGGGUUCGAUUCUCAGCA
rnacentral:tRNA from 1 species